rnacentral:rRNA from 1 species
UGGGGAAUAUUGGACAAUGGGCGCAAGCCUGAUCCAGCCAUGCCGCGUGAGUGAAGAAGGCCCUCGGGUUGUAAAGCUCUUUUGUUGGGGAAGAAAAGCAUCCGGUUAAUACCCGGGUGUUCUGACGGUACCCAAAGAAUAAGCACCGGCUAACUUCGUGCCAGCAGCCGCGGUAAUACGAAGGGUGCAAGCGUUACUCGGAAUUACUGGGCGUAAAGCGUGCGUAGGUGGUUUGUUAAGUCUGAUGUGAAAGCCCUGGGCUCAACCUGGGAAUGGCACUGGAUACUGGCAAGCUAGAGUGUGGCAGAGGGUAGUGGAAUUCCUGGUGUAGCAGUGAAAUGCGUAGAGAUCAGGAGGAACAUCCGUGGCGAAGGCGACUGCCUGGGCCAACACUGACACUGAGGCACGAAAGCGUGGGGAGCAAACAGG